GAAGUAUUGAUCAGAAUACUUAUGGUUAGCAGUCAUCCCUGAAGUUUUACAUUCAAAUCUUUACUUGUGUUGUGAACUUUGGUAAGAAGCAGAAACUUUAGCGUUGCCAUGGAUACAUGAGUGUUAAAUUCUGUCCAUGUUUCCAUUUUGGGAAAUUCAGUCCAGCAGAUGAGUUUGUUUUUACUGCCAGCUACCAUUCAGUCUGAGAUAUUAAGAAUAAAUAAAUAAAUAAAUGUGCAUAAUGUGGAAAUGAACAGAUUUUAUUUUUAUUUAUUCCUACAGCAUGUAAAGUUCCAGAAUGUGGAGGAAUUUAGUCUCACAAUCACAGACAAUAAAUAUUAUCUGAAAGUCGGGUUAUUAUUGUUUAUCAGCACAAUACAAAAAGAUUCAUGUUAGAAAUAUUCCAGUUAAGACUCUAGAAUAUCAUGAUUUAUGUAAAUUUACCUCAAUAAUAUGAAUGUUCAGGUUAAGAUUGUGCAGUGAUAUUUAUUAUGUAAGUUUAGCUGAUUAAAGUUUAUGACGCUGCACUACAAUAUUUAUUAUUUAAAUUUACAUCAUUAUUAUAAUAUUUAGGCUCAGACCCUACAGUACUGAGAUUAAGAAAUCAAAUAUUCUAUAAAAUCUAAAUACACUGAACUCAUUUGGAUAUAUUUAAGUGAGACUCUACAAUAUUAUUUAUGACACAAAUCUAUCUAAAUCAAAAUUUUAAUCAUUUUUACUCCAAACAUUUACUGGACUGAUUUAAAUAUUAAAAUCACUCCUUUCUAAUCCUCUGCUGUAUGUUCAAACCUGAGGCCUUAAAUAGAAACACACAAGUAUCUGAUUGAAGGAACUUCUGCAGAGUCCUGGUUCCACAACAUGAUGAUAGAAUUAUAGACAAACUUUAACAAAAGCUGCCUGAGAGUUUACAGCUUUUUAUGUUAGAUUUCUUCAGUAAUUUAAUGAGAGUUAUCAGCAAAAAUCAGGUGUUCAUUUGAUGAACUUCAUUUCCUAAAACAUCCAGAAUUGGAGCUCAUAUCUUUGGCAGCUGUAAAGUUUCUGCUCCUUCAAAGUUCACAACACAAUGAAUGAAUUCCUAAAACACUCUCAAUGCUGGAGAGCGUUUGAUGCUGAAGCAGUGACCAGUUUUUCUGUUUCUUCUCUGGAGAUGCACAAUGAGGGACAUCUGCAGAGACUGAGAAAGAGUCUCACCACAUCCUGACAUGAGGAAAAAGACUUUAUUGAAGACUACAAUGAGAAAAACUAUCAGACAGCAGACGGCUGCAUUCAAGAUGUUAAGCUAAAGGAGUUUUAUUGGUGACGUCUAACCAAUCAAAUCACUCCAGAAGACAGAGCGACCACAGGCCUCCGUUGACUCGUCCCACCUGCCGUCUCUGGAAGCUGAAGCUGGAUUGGAACAGACCAAAGUACAGUCCAAUCACGAUGCCAGCUGCCUCUCAAAAGGCUCCUUCAUCUGGCAGGUGGCAGCACUUCUUCUGAGGGGAAGCUGAGCUGGUCCAGCAGAACUUUGGAGAUGUGUUCCAGUGGUUGGUGGAUGUGUGGGGAGAUAGAGAGGGACCUUUGAAUUAUUCAGAAAGGAAAACAGGGAACCCAUUGGUAGUUUUAGUUUAGGCUGCUACUGAGGUGUGUUUUUGGGUUUUAAGAGGUGAACAGGAAGAGUUUUUUUCCUAUUGAUUACCUUUUACUUUGUUCCUGGUUGGAAUGCCCAUCAAUGUCAACAUGAAGUUCACUUUUAGUUCUGUUUAUUUAUUUUUAUUUUACUAACACCCAUUUGCUUUUAACCCCUCACAUGUUGUGUUGUUCUAAACUUCCUCUUUCAAAUAAAUACUCGUCUAACCCUCUGGAAACCAGCGUUUGGACUGUUUUUGUGUUGCUCCUCACCUCCUUCAGACAGCCGGGACAAAACAACGUUUUGUGGACUGAAGGCUUUUCUAUGACGAUUUUAGAGCUAC
ensembl:lncRNA